GCAGAACCUGUGAAUUUGUAGCAAAGGUGUAAGGACCACAAUUGUGUGUGCCCUUUUUAGUGGCUGGCUGCAAUGUUACUAACAGUCGCACUGCAGAUGCUUCGGUGUGUAUUGGGUAUCCAGUUUAAUGACUCUUGUAUCCAAAUCGUUGCUACUACUAAAUGUUCUUUGUGGGCAUGCUCCAGUUGCCUACACAAACUAAAAUUGUAAGCCCUGCCUACAUAUUGCCCUUAAAGCCUUGUGCUAUUAUCCAUGCCGUGUGUGUGUGUGUGU